UUUAUUCUUUCACUUUUUGAAUUUGCUAGAGGAAAAAGGCUCUGCUUUUUUUCAAACCACCAUUUUUUUUAAACACCCAACACUUGGGUUUCUUAACACCUUGAGUGCCACCACGCCACCAAGACCGACGGCCGACGAUGGAAGAAAAACCCCGGCGGCACGGUCACGGCCAACUCCGGUGAGUUUCUCCUCUCCUUAUUUCUUUUGUUUUUAUUUUCGUAAGUAGAAAGAAAUAAAAAGAAAUCAAACUAGAUGUAAAAACACACAAAAAUAAAGAAACGAAAAUUACUUCUCCGAUUCAAAGUUUAUGUUUUUAUUGUUCUUGUGUCCGUAAAAAGAGAGGAAGAGCCCCCUUUGCCGGCCAUCGACCACCGCACCGGUCGCCGGACGCCGGCGACGACGCCGCCGUUCGCGGUGGCCGGAAAACCAAAAAAAGCUCCCUUUUUCUCCUUUUUGCGAAUAGGGUCCAGAUCUGGGGUUAGAAAAGCCGAAAUCCCGGCGAAAAGGGCCAAAAUCGAAAGAGACCUUUCGGUUCUUCCUCUUUCCACCGCCGCCGGAAACAGGUAAACUCCUUUUUACUUUUAUUUUUUUUAUCUUAUAUAUAUGUGUGUUGAUAAUAAAAAAGAGAAAGAAAUACUAUAGAAAAACCGAAAUAGAACGAAAAUAAAGAAAACGAAAAAAAACAAGGUGAAUCACCUUCUAAAGCCCCUUUUUUAUUUCUUUCAAUUUUUUCAAAAGCCGAAUCUUCUCUUUUUUGUUACAAAAGUCCCCUUCUCUUUUUUUGUUUCUCUUCUUUUUUUUUCCUUGGUCCGAUUUUGCUUGUGGCUUUUAUAGCCAAAAAUACAAUAUUCUGUUAAUGUUUAUUGCUCCAUUUUUUGUCCUUUUCCUUUGCUUGUUUGCAGGUGCGGCAAAAGGCAUGGUGGUGGCAGACAGCAUGGGAGAGUGGGAGUGGUGCUGGUGGCAGACAACAUGGGAGAAUGGGAAGAGGCAAGUGGGAGUCUAGGGUUUUGGGAUUGGGCUUGGAUGUUGGGCUAGGUUGAUUUUAGGUUUUGGGUUUUAUUAUUUGGGUUAUUUUGUUGGUAUGGGCCCGGGCAAAAAUGGACUUUUACAGUUGCCCCUCUUUGUUCAUUUUCGUGUAACGAGAAUAGAGCAAAGACAUCAAAAGGGCCAAUUUUGCCCGGUCUUGCCGAGUCUUGACUUUUUUUGACACUUCUCUUCUUCAGGUAG
rnacentral:lncRNA from 1 species